CGGUGCUGAAGCACUGCACAGAGACGGGCAAGCACUCAGAGGCACUUCGUUUGCCUUGAUCCUGGAGGCGGCCUUCUCCAAUUGCCGAGGAUUUGAAGCGAACUCCUGGCAGAUCAGAAAUGUUCAGGCGAACGGCGGUUAUAUUUGUCCGUGGACCCAAAACUUCGUUGACGGGCAAAUAUGUCAGAUUUUCUUGUUUUUUAUUUGUGGCAUCUUAUUGUAAGACCGUGACAUAUUUUGCCGUUUUCUCUAGGGAACCCUGCAACAAGGACUGUAGUGUGAAUAGCGUGCUGCGCUGCUCUCGCCAACUGAAAAGAACUCUGGUGUGCUGUAAAUGCCGACUGCACAAUAUGUGACUGGCCCGCGGCUGCUUUGAAGGUAAGAUUGUGUUCUCAUUAAUCUAUUUAUUGUAUCAUUUGUUUUCCAGUGACAUAGCCAACAACGAAAACCUCGAUCCAUCCUCUCUCCACAUAUUAUCUAGUCUGUGCGCUGUGGAGCUUGAAGCACUUCUCGGAAUUUCAGCACACUCGCAUUUAUUUUUUUCCCGACAGAAGAAAAAUGCAAGUCUAACAUCUCGACGGUAAAACGUCGCAUCUGCGCACAGGGCCAAGAGCACGAGAAGUGGCCGAAAGAAGGGAGCCGAUCCAACAGGAAUGCCGUCCGUCUUUAUAUUUAUAUAUGUCAGCGUUAUCAUGCCGUGAUCACAUGGACUGUACGAUUGCGUUGCACAAGGGCUGAUGCAAACGCUCCGUGCGAACAAUGUUGCAUGGAAAAUUAGUGCAUCUAUACAAUUGCAAAAUAAAGAUCUA